rnacentral:rRNA from 1 species
AACGAACGCUGGCGGCAUGCCUAACACAUGCAAGUCGAACGAGACCUUCGGGUCUAGUGGCGCACGGGUGCGUAACGCGUGGGAACCUGCCCUUAGGUUCGGAAUAACUCCCCGAAAGGGGUGCUAAUACCGGAUAAUGUCUUCGGACCAAAGAUUUAUCGCCUUUGGAUGGGCCCGCGUUGGAUUAGCUAGUUGGUAGGGUAAAAGCCUACCAAGGCGACGAUCCAUAGCUGGUCUGAGAGGAUGAUCAGCCACACUGGGACUGAGACACGGCCCAGACUCAUACGGGAGGCAGCAGUGGGGAAUAUUGGACAAUGGGCGAAAGCCUGAUCCAGCAAUGCCGCGUGAGAGAUGAAGGCCUUAGGGUUGUAAAGCUCUUUUACCCGGGAUGAUAAUGACAGUACCGGGAGAAUAAGCUCCGGCUAACUCCGUG